AUAACUCCGGGAAACUGGAGAUAAUUCCGAAUAGGUCAAAUAUGCUGGAAUGCUUUUUGGCUAAAAGACUUCGGUUGCCUAAGGAUGGAUCUGCGGUCUAUCAGGUAGUAGUGGGUGUGACGUACCUACUAGCCUACGACGGAUAUGGGUUGUGAGAGCAAGAGCCCAGAGAUGGAUUCUGAGACAUGAAUCCAGGCCCUACGGGGCGCAGCAGGCGCGAAAACUUUACAAUGCGGGAAACCGCGAUAAGGGGACACCGAGUGCCAGCAUUUAUGUUGGCUGUCCACAUGUGUAAACGGCAUGUGUUAGCAAGGGCCGGGCAAGACCGGUGCCAGCCGCCGCGGUAACACCGGCGGCCCGAGUGGUAAUCACUUUUAUUGGGUCUAAAGGGUCCGUAGCCGGUUUGAUCAGUUCUUCGGGAAAUCUGACAGCUCAACUGUUAGGCUUCCGGGGAAUACUGUCAGACUUGGGACCGGGAGAGGUAAGAGGUACUACAGGGGUAGGAGUGAAAUCUUGUAAUCCCUGUGGGACCACCAGUGGCGAAGGCGUCUUACCAGAACGGGUCCGACGGUGAGGGACGAAAGCUGGGGGCACGAACCGGACUAGAUACCCGGGUAGUCCCAGCCGUAAACGAUGUUCGCUAGGUGUCAGGGGCGGUGCGACCGCUUCUGGUGCCGUAGGGAAGCCGUGAAGCGAACCACCUGGGAAGUACGGCCGCAAGGCUGAAACUUAAAGGAAUUGGCGGGGGAGCACUACAACGGGUGGAGCCUGCGGUUUAAUUGGAGUCAACGCCGGAAA
rnacentral:rRNA from 1 species